rnacentral:rRNA from 1 species
GCAGUCGACGCUUCUUUCCAUCCCGAGUGCUUGCACUCAUUGGAAAGAGGAGUGGCGGACGGGUGAGUAACACGUGGGUAACCUACCCAUCAGAGGGGGAUAACACUUGGAAACAGGUGCUAAUACCGCAUAACAGUUUAUGCCGCAUGGCAUAAGAGUGAAAGGCGCUUUCGGGUGUCGCUGAUGGAUGGACCCGGGGUGCAUUAGCUAGUUGGUGAGGUAACGGCUCACCAAGGCCACGAUGCAUAGCCGACCUGAGAGGGUGAUCGGCCACACUGGGACUGAGACACGGCCCAGACUCCUACGGGAGGCAGCAGUAGGGAAUCUUCGGCAAUGGACGAAAGUCUGACCGAGCAACGCCGCGUGAGUGAAGAAGGUUUUCGGAUCGUAAAACUCUGUUGUUAGAGAAGAACAAGGACGUUAGUAACUGAACGUCCCCUGACGGUAUCUAACCAGAAAGCCACGGCUAACUACGUGCCAGCAGCCGCGGUAAUACGUAGGUGGCAAGCGUUGUCCGGAUUUAUUGGGCGUAAAGCGAGCGCAGGCGGUUUCUUAAGUCUGAUGUGAAAGCCCCCGGCUCAACCGGGGAGGGUCAUUGGAAACUGGGAGACUUGAGUGCAGAAGAGGAGAGUGGAAUUCCAUGUGUAGCGGUGAAAUGCGUAGAUAUAUGGAGGAACACCAGUGGCGAAGGCGGCUCUCUGGUCUGUAACUGACGCUGAGGCUCGAAGCGUGGGGAGCAAACAGGAUUAGAUACCCUGGUAGUCCACGCCGUAAACGAUGAGUGCUAAGUGUUGGAGGAUUCCGCCCUUCAGUGCUGCAGCAACGCAUUAAGCACUCCGCCUGGGAGUACGACCGCAAGGUUGAACUCAAGGAUUGAGGGGCCCGCACAAGCGGUGGAGCAUGUGGUUUAAUUCAGAGCACGCGAAGACCUUACCAGGU